rnacentral:misc_RNA from 1 species
AACUUUUGGCAAUGGAUCUCUUGGUUCUGGCAUCGAUGAAGAACGCAGCGAAAUGCGAUAAGUAAUGAGAAUUGCAGAAUUCAGUGAAUCAUCGAAUCUUUGAACGCACAUUGCGCCCCUUGGCAUUCCGAGGGGCAUGCCUGUUCGAGCGUCAUUUAAACCAAUCCAGCGUGCUGGGUCUUGGGCUUUCGCCUCUGGGCGGGCCUCAAAGUCAGUGGCGGUGCUGCCAGGCUCUAAGCGUAGUAAUUCUUCUCGCUACAGGGUCCUGGUGGAGGCUUGCCAACAACCCCAAAUAUUUCAAAGGUUGACCUCGGAUCAUGUAGGGAUACCCGCUGAACUUAAGCAUAUCAAUAAGCGGAGGCU